GCGAUGAUUACGUCACUUUCGUCAACAAAGAUGGCGUCCCCCUGUGUGCACACCGUGAGAUGCUUCCUCGGAUGCUUCUUUAAAUUAAAUGCAGUCACGUUACAGUUUCAGCGGCAGGUCCUGAGGAGGCAGAUAUGUGUGAGCGCUGCACUCAACGGGAGUAGAGCUAACAUCUAAGAAGUCUGAGAAGUUCACAGAAGAGUUCAUCCAGAAGCAGGUGGAGGAGUUCAACAUUGGGAAACGGCACUGGCAAACAUGAUGGGGGAGGACCCUGAAAACUUCACCCAGGAGGACAUUGACAACAGCAUCGCCUACCUGUUUCCCUCUGGCCUGUUUGAGAGGAGAUCUCGACCCAUCAUGAAAGUAAGUGCAGAUCUGAAGAGGUUACGUGGAGGUUACCCUGAAGAUUUGAUAUUUCUUUGAUAUCUGAAGAAUCCCAUUGUAAGAACAAAUUC